ACAACUAUUAGCAGCUUCCAUCUUUGCCCACGUGGUUUAAUAAGAAUAGAUGGCACAAAGCAAAAGAAUUUAACCAGAUAUCUCAGUAUGUUGCCAUGGAAAAGCUUGUGUGAACUGAACAGGAACAAAAGGCGCAUGUCUGCAAUCUGAAAAUGGAGACAGUUAAGACAAGAAAAUCUUUCAAACAGCGCCUUUAAAACAACAGCAGAAAAGAAUAAAAGCAAGGGAGUGAAAACUGAGCACUGUUUCAUGAUACCCUCAUGGGAAGAAGAUUAUGUUAUGAAACAACUGUAGCA